GGACUACGCGGGUUUCUAAUCCUGUUUGCUCCCCACGCUUUCGUGCAUGAGCGUCAGUAUUGGCCCAGGGGGCUGCCUUCGCCAUCGGUAUUCCUCCACAUCUCUACGCAUUUCACUGCUACACGUGGAAUUCUACCCCCCUCUGCCAUACUCUAGCCCGCCAGUCACAAAUGCAGUUCCCAGGUUAAGCCCGGGGAUUUCACAUCUGUCUUAGCGAACCGCCUGCGCACGCUUUACGCCCAGUAAUUCCGAUUAACGCUUGCACCCUACGUAUUACCGCGGCGGCUGACAC
rnacentral:misc_RNA from 1 species